rnacentral:rRNA from 1 species
GACGAACGCUGGCGGCGUGCUUAACACAUGCAAGUCGAACGGUAAGGCCCUUCGGGGUACACGAGUGGCGAACGGGUGAGUAACACGUGGGUGAUCUGCCAUGCACUUCGGGAUAAGCCUGGGAAACCGGGUCUAAUACCGGAUAGGACCACUGCCUGCAUGGGAGGUGGUGGAAAGCUUUUGCGGUGUGGGAUGGGCCCGGUGCCUAUCAGCGUGUUGGUGGGGUGGUGGCCUACCAAGGCGACGACGGGUAGCCGGCAUGAGAGGGGUACCGGCCACACUGGGACUGAGAUACGGCCCAGCCUCCUACGGGAGGCAGCAGUGGGGAAUAUUACACAAUGGGCGCAAGCCUGAUGCAGCGACGCCGCGUGAGGGAUGACGGCCUUCGGGUUGUAAACCUCUUUCAGCACCGAUGAAGCGCAAGUGACGGUAGGUGCGGAAGAAGGACCGGCCAACUACGUGCCAGCCGCCGCGGUAA